rnacentral:lncRNA from 1 species
AGGAUGCACUGCAGAUGAUAAAAUGAGAUCGCCUACUGGAUGGCCGAGUCGCAAUGCGUUUGUGUGCCACGCAGGAGGAUCCAGAUAAACGUCCCGGAUUCGGCAUCUCCUGAAAAGUCUUUUCGUAGUUCUGAAUCUGGCCCGGUGAUCCUCGUCCUUCACCAUCCAAUUCUCUCCACGGGUGUGGGUGCAGUCUGUGGUUGGAACUGGCCCCGACCAUUAGUUAAUCUCCACGAUUGGAAAGCUGCAUAAAAAUGUAAAAAUAAAAAUAGAAUGCGUUACUAGCUUGCAGAGGGUACAACGCGACUGCUAC